ACCCGAGCGAAGCGAGAGAACGUUGCGCGAGCAACGGCCCGCAGGGCGAGCCAUCCUCUCAUUGCUGACAUAUUCCACUGCUUUUGCCG
rnacentral:sRNA from 1 species